CAGAUAGAAAAUUGGAAAUUGAAAGGGGGUUGUGGGAAAACUUUGCAAUCCCUCACUGGGAGAAGGGAGGUACAUUUGGGCUUGCAAACCCAGAGAGGGGAGGAAGGUAGUAAGGUCUAAGAGAAAACAGCCCUUGAUUGCUGGCUGGGGAUGUCCCUGAGCCAGAAGCUGGAGUAGAGGGCAGGCCUGGGUUCUCCUGCUAGUGACUGAGGGAGCUGAACUACGUGGUAAUGAAUGGGAAGACUGCCCAGGAUUGCUGAAUAAAGACUUUGAUACCUUGGAAGAGGAUAAGUAGAUAGUGACCUGCCUGGAGGACUGAGUCAUGAAGAGGCAGCAGCAGCUUGUGGAGCAAGAGAGGGAUUGCAGUGCAGAUGCAGAGAGUGAGAGGCAAAGAGAUGGUGUGCAACUGCAGAAAGCUGCAUCCUAGAUCUCAGCUAAAGUGGAGCCUCAGUUUCUCAAGGAAAGAGAUGGAAAUAACCUCAUUGAAAUAGAUUUUUCAGGGCUCAGAGUCAAGCUGGAUCCUCUCCAUCUUGUGAAUUUGCUCCUCAGUAGCAAGUGUGCAACUCUCCCAGUUAUGCUCUCCAAUGACAGAGGUAACUGAUUGGAACUUUGCAAACAACUCCUUUGAUGUACAAGAAAGAACAAAAAUGCAGGUACUGCUCAUGUACAUACAGCUAAGCAUAUGCAUAAGUUUUGCAGCAGUGGGAUAAUAGGAAGUCUUGAACUGAGUCUUGCCUCAACCAUCCUUGGUCUCAGGAACUAAAAAGUGGGUUGAGACAGGAACCUACAAAUUGCAGAAUAGAAAACUGGAUGAAAAAACUUUAACUAAAAAUCUAAAUAAAAGCAACAUGUAAGCUCUGAAAUGUAGUCCAUUUUUAUUUAGGCGCUUUGAUAUGUAUGUAAAAGCAUAACA